rnacentral:misc_RNA from 1 species
GCUCCCCAGGGUGUCCGCCAGAUCUCCAAGGACUCCAAUGGCAGUUUUCAUAACAACUUCAUCCAUGUCUUUUCUCAUGUAAAUACUAUCCAAGAAUUGAAGUAUAUGAGGGGCAUAAGGGACCAAAAGCUGAGUUUUUGGAGAGCUCUUGAAACCUUGGAAGAUCCCUGAAUAUGCCUCCAAAAUCCCAUUUCUCAAAGAAUUUGUAUACUCGGUCAUUUCAUCAUCAAUACCUGCUGUGUGUGCAGAUAGCUCUGCGGCCCUUUGAAGCAUGGGCAUCGCAUACAUCAA